GACGAACGCUGGCGGCGUGCUUAACACAUGCAAGUCGAACGGAAAGGCCCUGCUUGCUGGGUACUCGAGUGGCGAACGGGUGAGUAACACGUGGGUGAUCUGCCCUGCACUUCGGGAUAAGCCUGGGAAACUGGGUCUAAUACCGGAUAGGAGCCAUUUUUAGUGUGAUGGUUGGAAAGUUUUUUCGGUGUAGGAUGAGCUCGCGGCCUAUCAGCUUGUUGGUGGGGUAAUGGCCUACCAAGGCGGCGACGGGUAGCCGGCCUGAGAGGGUGGACGGCCACCUUGGGACUGAGGUACGGCCCAGACUCCUACGGGAGGCAGCAGGGGGGAAUAUUGCACAAUGGGCGCAAGCCUGAUGCAGCGACGCCGCGUGGGGGAUAACGGCCUUCGGGUUGUAAACUCCUUGCGCUAGGGACGAAGCUUUUUGUGACGGUACCUAGAUAAGAAGCACCGGCUAACUACGUG
rnacentral:rRNA from 1 species